AUUGAACGCUGGCGGCAGGCCUAACACAUGCAAGUCGAGCGAGCGGCGGACGGGUGAGUAAUGUCUGGGAAACUGCCUGAUGGAGGGGGAUAACUACUGGAAACGGUAGCUAAUACCGCAUACCAUCAGAUGUGCCCAUAUGGGAUUAGCUAGUAGGUGGGGUAACGGCUCACCUAGGCGACGAUCCCUAGCUGGUCUGAGAGGAUGACCAGCCACACUGGAAAUGAGACACGGUCCAGACUCCUACGGUAGGCAGCAGUGGGGAAUAUUGCACAAUGGGCGCAAGCCUGAUGCAGCCAUGCCGCGUGUAUGAAGAAGGCCUUCGGGUUGUAAAGUAGUUUCAGCGGGGAGGCGUUACCCGCAGAAGAAGCACCGGCUAACUCCGUGCCAGCAGCCGCGGUAAUAC
rnacentral:rRNA from 1 species